rnacentral:lncRNA from 1 species
UUGAAAAGUGCCUACCCCUGGCCUGGGAUGCUUCCUCCUGGGAUGCUCCCACUUGGAACCCAACUAUUGUGCUGCAGAAGUUUAACUUAACUGUGUAAGGAGGCCAAGAGGAGGCCCUGGCUGCCAGCCAGCAUCAACUUCCAGUGACGUGAGUGUGCCAUUCUGGAACUGGAUCCUGCAGCCUCGGUGGAGCAGCCUCAGCUGAUGCCAUGUGGAACAGAGAUGAACUGCCGCUGCCGAGCUCUGCCCACGUUGCAGAAUCAUGAGCAAAUAUGGAAUCUUGCUCUGUCACCCAGGCUGGAGUGCAGUGGCAUGAUCUCAGCUUACUGCAACCUCUGCCUCCCAGGUUCAAGUGAUUCUCCUGCCUCAGCCUCCCAAGUAGCUGGGAUUACAGAUGUUGUGGAUUGGCUGUAACUCUGCUCUGGGAUCCAGGCUGAAGGAGCAGGCUCUAUCUGGAACAUUACUAGUCUCCAGGCAGAAGAAAAAGAGACAAUGGAAUGGAUGAUUGAAUGGAUGAAUGAACUCCACAGGAAGAUGAGGAAAGCCUUUAUGGAUGGAGUGAGCUUGCAGCAGAGUCUCAAAGGAAGAAGAAAUAAAACAAACUUCUACAUGGCAAAAUAAACCUCUACAUGGCAAAAUAAACCUCUACAUGGCAAAAUAAACCUCUACAUGGAUAGAGAUCUGUCUCAGACACAUUUUGGUUUCCAUGACUUCUGAAUGGCAGCAUGAGGAGCUCCAUGAACCCUCUCCCCAGUGAAAUGACCAUAAUCUCUGGAAAUUGCUUAAGAUCAAAGCCACAACUAUUUAAAGCCUUUGGAAAUUGUUUUAUGGGGAUGCGGCAAAUUAAUAAACUUUUAUUCAAGAAAAUGUACUAAGUCUCAGUAAGAACAGUGAGAGUCAAUAACAUUUGUACCACAAAAGACUUCCUCCCUCCUUCUUCUAGCUCAGCAUGAUGGAAAAGUUACUCUAAGUAGGUGAAGCCGAGAACACGGGCUACCUCUUUCCCCAGCUCUCAGUUGAGGGCUACUAUAUCUCGCUGGGAGGGCGGCUGCCAGCAUUUCUCAUACCCUCCAGCUUCAUGCUGCAAAAGCUCUACUUUGGACAAGACUGGCUGAUAAAUCUGGGGCUCACUUCGUAAACCUAGCCCCCAAUCAUAGGGCAGAAACUCCACCUCGGCCAUGGCAGGCUGAGAAUACUGGAGCCUGUGUUACCCUGGCCUCAGCUUGCUCAUGGGGCAGAGAUUCUUUACAGGAAAGGCAAGAGCAGAAGAGCAAAAGCUACUGCUCUGCCCAGCACUCUGCUCAUAAAGCCGGAUUGUCAUCCUGAGAUAAGGGGGCCACUGUCUCUGCCUGAGUUCCCCAAGCUCCGGAGCAGUGGUGCAGAGGUUUUGCCCAAGGGGAGAGGAAGGCGGUAGAUACAGAGACCUCUGAAGUUCUUCCCAAGAAAACACUUUAUGUAGAACACAAUGUGGGAAAGUUCAAGUGUAAGGGUGUUCUCAAAAACAAUGAAGAUUUUGUUGGUAAGCAAUUAAGAGGAGCCUGGGAACUCCAUUCAAGCAACAAGCUGAACUGUAGACCAGCUAGAAGUGUUCUGGAGAGAACCAGGGAAAGCAUCAGCUAAGAAGAGCCCCCUUGGUGUUAGAAUAAGUCUCAAAGACUGACCUGAAAGAUUACCCUUGCAAAGGGGCCCAAAUUUAAUGUACAAGACAGGAGCAAUUCAUGCCUCCAGGGCAUUAUCAAACACGAAAGAACAAUCAGCCAGCAGUUGGUGGAGGCUAACGGCUGUAUGUGAUACCAUAGCAGGCUGACAGCUUAACAAAGAGAUAAGGUAAAGAGAAAAGGAGACUUUUUUUUUUUUUUUUUUAAGAUGGAGUCUCACUCUGUCGCCCAGGCUGGAGUGCAGUGGCCCAAUCUCAACUCAUUGCAGCCUCUCACUCCCAGGUUCAAGUGAUUCUCCUGCCUCAGCCUCCCAAAUAGUUGAGAUUACAGGCGUGAGCCACCACACCUGGCCCAAAUUUUACUCUUCUAGGCACCUCAUGUAAGUGGAAUCAUACAGUAUUUGUCCUCUUGUGAUUGGCUAAUUUCACUUUACAUAAUGUCUUCAAGUAUCAUCCAUAUUGCAGCAUGUGUCAGAAUUGUCAGAAUUUCAUUCCUUUUUUUUUUUUUCUUGAGACAGGGUCUCACUCUGUCUCCCUGGCUGGAGUACAGUGGCACAAUCACAGUUCACUGCAACCUCAACCUCCUGGGCUCAAAUGAUCCUCCUACCUCAGCCUCCCAAGUAGAUGGGACUACAGGAGCACGCCACCAUGCCCAGCUAAUUUUUUUUUUUUUUUUUUUUUUUUUUACUUUUUUGUAGAGACAGGAUCUCACUGUAUUGCCCAGGCUGGUCUUGAACUCUUGGGCUCAAGCAAUCCUCUUGCCUCUGCCUCCCAAAAUGCUGGGAUUACAAGCAUGAGCCACUGCACCGGCCAAUUUCAUCCCUGUGAAAGCUGAAUAGUAUUCCAUUACUUGUACUUACCAAUUUUAUUUAUCCCUUCAUCCAUCAAUGGACAUUUGGGUUGUUUCCCCCUUUUGGCCAUUAUGAAUAAUGCUGCUAUGAACCCUGGCAUACAAAUCAAAUGUAACUUAAAUGCCACGUCUGCAUUGUGGGUGAUACAAGAGAUGAUUAUAGAAUAGCACAUGGAAGAACAUUUAAAAACAUAAAUUUAAAAUGUCAUAUUUAAAAAUGUAAUAGUUGGCCGGGUGCAGUGGCUCAAGCCUAUAGUCCCAGCACUCUGGGAGGCCGAGGCAGGGGAAUCACUUGAGGUCAGGAAUUCAAGACCAGCCUGGCCACUAAAAACACACACACAAAAAUUAGACAGACGUGGUGGCGCACGCGUGU